rnacentral:rRNA from 1 species
AGCGGCGAAAGGGGGCGUAACACGUGGGCAAUCUACCAAGAAGUGGGGGAUAGCUCGGCGAAAGCCGAAUUAAUACCGCAUGUGAUGAGGGAAGACAUCUUUCCGAAAUCAAAGGUGGCGCAAGCUACCGCUUUUUGUGGGGCCCGCGGCCUAUCAGCUUGUUGGUGAGGUAACGGCUCACCAAGGCUAUGACGGGUAGCUGGUCUGAGAGGACGACCAGUCACACUGGGACUGAGACACGGCCCAGACACCUACGGGUGGCAGCAGUCGAGAAUUUUUGACAAUGGGGGAAACCCUGAUCGAGCGACGCCGCGUGGAGGAUGAAGGUCUUCGGGUUGUAAACUCCUGUCAUUUGGGAACAAGGCGUACGUAUUAACUGUGCGUGCGUUGAUAGUACCAGAAGAGGAAGAGACGGCUAACUCUGUGCCAGCAGCCGCGGUAAUACAGAGGUCUCAAGCGUUGUUCGGAUUCAUUGGGCGUAAAGGGUGUGUAGGUGGCGCGCUAAGUCGGGUGUGAAAUUUCGGAGCUUAACUCCGAAACUGCAUUCGA